rnacentral:lncRNA from 1 species
AACAUAACAAACACAUUCAAAUGUCAGUGCAAAGAACAGUGGUGUCCAGGAACACAGAACAGUGGUGUCCAGGAACACAGUACAGUGGUGUCCAGGAACACAGAACAGUGGUGUCCAGGAACACAGAACAGUGGUGUCCAGGAACACAGAACAGUGGUGUCCAGGAACACAGAACAGUGGUGUCCAGGAACACAGCACAGUGGUGUCCAGGAACACAGCACAGUGGUGUCCAGGAACACAGCACAGUGGUGUCCAGGAACACAGCACAGUGGUGUCCAGGAACACAGAACAGUGGUGUCCAGGAACACAGCACAGUGGUGUCCAGGAACACAGAACAGUGGUGUCCAGGAACACAGCACAGUGGUGUCCAGGAACACAGCACAGUGGUGUCCAGGAACACAGCACAGUGGUGUCCAGGAACACAGAACAGUGGUGUCCAGGAACACAGCACAGUGGUGUCCAGGAACACAGUACAGUGGUGUCCAGGAACACAGCACAGUGGUGUCCAGGAACACAGUACAGUGGUGUCCAGGAACACAGAACAGUGGUGUCCAGGAACACAGUACAGUGGUGUCCAGGAACACAGUACAGUGGUGUCCAGGAACACAGAACUGUGGUGUCCAGGAACACAGCACAGUGGUGUCCAGGAACACAGUACAGUGGUGUCCAGGAACACAGCACAGUGGUGUCCAGGAACACAGUACAGUGGUGUCCAGGAACACAGUACAGUGGUGUCCAGGAACACAGUACAGUGGUGUCCAGGAACACAGUACAGUGGUGUCCAGGAACACAGCACAGUGGUGUCCAGGAACACAGCACAGUGGUGUCCAGGAACACAGAACAGAUGUGUCCAGGAACACAGAACAGUGGUGGCCAGGAACACAGAACAGAGGUGUCCAGGAACACAGAACAGUGGUGGCCAGGAACACAGAACAGAGGUGUCCAGGAACACAGCACAGUGGUGUCCAGGAACAUAGAACAGAGGUGUCCAGGAACACAGUACAGAGGUGUCCAGGAACACAGAACAGUGGUGUCCAGGAACACAGAACAGUGGUGUCCAGGAACACAGUACAGAGGUGUCCAGGAACACAGUACAGAGGUGUCCAGGAACACAGAACAGUGGUGUCCAGGAACAAAGUACAGUGGUGUCCAGGAACACAGAACAGUGGUGUCCAGGAACACAGUACAGUGGUGUCCAGGAACACAGCACAGUGGUGUCCAGGAACACAGCACAGUGGUGUCCAGGAACACAGAACAGUGGUGUCCAGGAACACAGAACAGUGGUGUCCAGGAACACAGUACAGUGGUGUCCAGGAACACAGUACAGAACAGUGGUGUCCAGGAACACAGUACAGUGGUGUCCAGGAACACGGCACAGUGGUGUCCAGGAACACAGUACAGUGGUGUCCAGGAACACAGAACAGUGGUGUACUGGAACACAGAACAGUGGUGUCCAGGAACACAGUACAGUGGUGUCCAGGAACUUUGAACAGUGGUGUCCAGGAACACAGUACAGAGGUGUCCAGGAACACAGAACAGUGGUGUCCAGGAACACAGAACAGUGGUGUCCAGGAACACAGUAGAGUGGUGUCCAUGAACACAGUACAGUGGUGUCCAGGAACACAGUACAGUGGUGUCCAGGAACACAGUACAGUGGUGUCCAGGAACACAGAACAGUGGUGUCCUGGAACACAGAACAAUGGUGUCCAGGAACACAGUACAGUGGUGUCCAGGAACAUUGAACAGUGGUGUCCAGGAACACAGUACAGAGGUGUCCAGGAACACAGAACAGUGGUGUCCAGGAACACAGAACAGUGGUGUCCAGGAACACAGUACAGUGGUGUCCAGGAACACAGAACAGUGGUGUCCAGGAACACAGAACAGUGGUGUCCAGGAACACAGAACAGUGGUGUCCAGGAACACAGAACAGUGGUGUCCAGGAACACAGCACAGUGGUGUCCAGGAACACAGCACAGUGGUGUCCAGGAACACAGCACAGUGGUGUCCAGGAACACAGCACAGUGGUGUCCAGGAACACAGAACAGUGGUGUCCAGGAACACAGCACAGUGGUGUCCAGGAACACAGAACAGUGGUGUCCAGGAACACAGCACAGUGGUGUCCAGGAACACAGCACAGUGGUGUCCAGGAACACAGCACAGUGGUGUCCAGGAACACAGAACAGUGGUGUCCAGGAACACAGCACAGUGGUGUCCAGGAACACAGUACAGUGGUGUCCAGGAACACAGCACAGUGGUGUCCAGGAACACAGUACAGUGGUGUCCAGGAACAUAGAACAGUGGUGUCCAGGAACACAGUACAGUGGUGUCCAGGAACACAGUACAGUGGUGUCCAGGAACACAGAACUGUGGUGUCCAGGAACACAGCACAGUGGUGUCCAGGAACACAGUACAGUGGUGUCCAGGAACACAGCACAGUGGUGUCCAGGAACACAGUACAGUGGUGUCCAGGAACACAGUACAGUGGUGUCCAGGAACACAGUACAGUGGUGUCCAGGAACACAGUACAGUGGUGUCCAGGAACACAGCACAGUGGUGUCCAGGAACACAGCACAGUGG